rnacentral:rRNA from 1 species
UACGUAGGGGGCAAGCGUUGUCCGGAUUUAUUGGGCGUAAAGCGCGUGUAGGCGGCCACGCAGGUCCGCUGUGAAAACUCGAGGCUCAACCUCGAGCUGUCGGUGGAAACCGCGUGGCUAGAGUCCGGAAGAGGGGACUGGAAUUCCCGGUGUAGCGGUGGAAUGCGCAGAUAUCGGGAGGAACACCCGUGGCGAAGGCGGCCACCUGGACCAGCAUUGACGCUGAGGCGCGAAAGCGUGGGGAGCAAACAGG